AUUGAACGCUGGCGGCAUGCCUUACACAUGCAAGUCGAACGGCAGCGGGGGAGAAGCUUGCUUUUCCUGCCGGCGAGUGGCGAACGGGUGAGUAAUACAUCGGAACGUGCCCUGUAGUGGGGGAUAACUAGUCGAAAGAUUAGCUAAUACCGCAUACGACCUGAGGGUGAAAGUGGGGGACCGCAAGGCCUCAUGCUAUAGGAGCGGCCGAUGUCUGAUUAGCUAGUUGGUGGGGUAAAGGCCUACCAAGGCGACGAUCAGUAGCUGGUCUGAGAGGACGAUCAGCCACACUGGGACUGAGACACGGCCCAGACUCCUACGGGAGGCAGCAGUGGGGAAGUUUGGACAAUGGGCGAAAGCCUGAUCCAGCAAUGCCGCGUGUGUGAAGAAGGCCUUCGGGUUGUAAAGCACUUUUGUCCGGAAAGAAAUGGCUCUGGUUAAUACCUGGGGUCGAUGACGGUACCGGAAGAAUAAGGACCGGCUAACUACGUGCCAGCAGCCGCCGCGG
rnacentral:rRNA from 1 species